rnacentral:rRNA from 1 species
UACGUAGGGGGCUAGCGUUGUCCGGAAUCAUUGGGCGUAAAGCGCGUGUAGGCGGUCCGGUAAGUCCGCUGUGGAAAGUCGGGGGCUCAACCCUCGAAUGCCGGUGGAUACUGUCGGGCUAGAGUGCGGAAGAGGCGAGUGGAAUUCCUGGUGUAGCGGUGAAAUGCGCAGAUAUCAGGAAGAACACCCGUGGCGAAGGCGCUCUCUGGAACGCAACUGACGCUGAGACGCGAAAGCGUGGGGAGCAAACAGG